rfam:Rattus norvegicus chromosome 5, whole genome shotgun sequence.
GGGGAUUUAGCUCAGUGGUAGAGCGCUUGCCUAGCAAGUGCAAGGCCCUGGGUUCGAUCCUCAGCUCCG